UCCCUGAUGGCUCAGUGGUAAAGUAUCUGCCUGCAAUGCAGGAGACCCGGGUUCUAUCCCAGGUCGGGAAG
rnacentral:tRNA from 1 species